UCUCCUCUGCAUUUCAACCCUCUAAUGAUUCUGUGUUGACAACUCACUUUGGGGAAUUCCUGUGUUUGACUGGACAUGCUUUUGUUUUUUUCUGGACAUGGGAGGUGCCUUCAGUUGUAAGUCAAGAUAUAAGACUGGAACAGCUGACCACCAGCAAUGCCAACAUACCACAGCUAUGCCGGGCAUAAUCCUGCAACCCUUACUCAUUUUCCUUUAAUUAGAAUGAAAUCCUGAUGAAUCAUGAGUUCUGCCUGCCUCCGAGAUGCAUGAAGAAUCCAGCUUUGGCAGCAAACAUCCAGGAAUGGAGUUCUGGCCUCCCUGAUCUUCUGGGCCAGCUGCAAGGAGCAGCCAGCAUAUGAAGUCAUAGCUACCAGCCAAAGAGGAGAAGAGAGAGAUCCGCUCAAUUUGGAGCAGACAGUAUUCCAAACCUUGCCUUGUUCAUGUUUCAGAGGCAGACACCAAGGCAGAACCUCAGAAUGGAGGGAAAGCCAGGCAAACACUGCCUGCCACCCUCUGGAGUGAGCUGACCCCUGCUGGCCAGGGCGAUACAGCACCAGUGGAGGUGCUUCAGAAUGGUUUCCUUGAGGACCUGCUCCAUGAAUUUUCCAGGGACUGAGAAGCCUGAGUGGAGAGAGGGAGCUGGGGCCAUCAGAACAGAGGCAGGCAUCCCUGAAGGAGACAGGCAAGGCUAAUAAUUACCACAGAGGGAAGUGACCAGAGGGAAGCUAUAAAUCUGAGUUGUACUUGUGCCUGAGGAAGUAAAUGCAUCUAUUGGCCUUUGACUGCAGUCUGGGUAAGUGCCUUUGAAAAAUCGAUGGUUUUAGAAAGAGCACCCCUUCAUGGAAAUAGCAACUUCCUGCAUGUUAGAACCUAGAAGUAACAAACAGCAGUUUGUAAAUUUUCCCCAUCGUAAUGUAAAGCAAUGUGACUCCACUGGCGUCCAUUAGCUUUUCGAUAUAUGGCAGAUUUUGUACACUGUAGCAGGCAGUGCUUUCCAGGCGGCUUUGAUCUGCUAGGCCUGAACUGCUUUUUUACAGUAGGCACAAGGUCAAACUAGCGGGUUGAGUCUUGAAAAAAUGGCAUGGCCUCUCUGUGAUUUAGCAAUGAUUAAUUAUUCAUAUAAAGGCUGUUGUUUCAGGCAGUGACAUACUCAUGCCUGGGAAUAAGGAACUGAGAGUGAUGUAAUCACUGACUGAAAGUGUGAAUAUAGAGCCUUUGACUUCAAUACUCAGCCUGCUACCAAGGACCCCCUUGCACUAGACAAAUACCAGUUUGUUUACUGGCAUUGUUGCAAUUUGAUUUUUGCUUAUUUCCUCUCACCUACUCACAUUAAAAAUGGAGGCCUUGGCAAAAAAGCACUUAUUGAACUCUUGAGGAGAAAAAUCCUUUAGCACAGGAUGAUUUUUUAAAUGAACCGUGGUUGGUCUGAGAAGAAUGUCCUUUGAAAAGUAUAUCCAUGUAAAAGGGGGUGUCGUUUUACCGGUUUCUAGUCUCCUUGGAGGGGAUGGUUUUGUGUGUGGUACUAUGUAAAUGGUACUCCCUGCAGUCACUAAAGCAAAUUCAGUGCAAGGAAGAUUUACAGGAUUGGGCCCUAACUUUGGUUUUAAUUAACAAGUGAGUUUUAAUUAAUCUUCCAAGGUAACCCACGGUAUUAAUCACAAGUAAAUUUUUGUUUAUGGUUACUUCAUCAUCUUCCAAUGGCAUGGGACUGUAUAGAUGUACCAGUCUUCAAGCAGAAUUCCCAUCAAUUUUCCAUGGAAGAGUUCUGUUUCAAAACAGAUGCCAUAAUAUAUCCCAUCAGUCUUUAUUUUCAGGUACAAUCUUCAAAUACACUGCUCAAUGAUUACAUGGGAACAGGUAAUCCCAAUCCACUGUAAUUUGAUGUGGGGGACAAGGUUGUAAUCUUCAGGAUUUGCUGAGUAUCACAGAAGAUCCUAGAUAUAAAUCAUGGGUGGAAGCAAAGGAGAAUAAUCCUAAUUUUUGAAUGGAAAAAUAUUAAUGACCCUUUCUGAAGCAUUUGGUAAAUAAAGAGUUUAAGACAACUUCCUUCUGGGUGCUUUUGUCUUGUGACUAUGACUAAACACAUCAUGCUGUCACCAAAAUUUCUUCUGCUGCGUGUACUGAUUUUACAGACAGCUUUCUUGCUGAGUUAGUAUGUUUGCCGGAAACUCAUUUAUGUGUAUUUCAGUAACAGAAAGCUGACUGGAUUUUGGCAGAAAACAAAGAUUCCUCCUAGCUGGCUGCCUUUUUACUAUUGAUGUGGAUUAUUUUUAAUGUCAUCUCUCAUUUCAAAGGAAAUACAUAGUCUCUUUUGGUUACCAGAUAAUGUCAACCAGGAGGCAAGGCAUCUGGAAUUGCUUUGUUGCAAGAACAGUCUUUUGGUUAAAGAGAGUCAGGCCUAAAGCGUUCUCAAGACCCAUGUCACUAAUGGUGAUGAAUGCACAGACACAACCAGCAAUGGGUGACGAGAGAAACUCACUGACAAACAGGGUAUUUUUCAGACUUCCCUUUCACUUUUCUCUUUGUAAUGUAUAUUUUUGGACUUUUCGGGUUGAUUUUGUAAAUGCUGACUGGUUGCUGAUCUAGCCACAUGGCUGAGCGGACAAGGGAAGUGUAAAUUGUGUAUCAUUCUUAGUCUCCUCUGUAGUUAAUCAAGGGAAAAUCCAGAAUUCCUGUUUGAAUGACAUCAUUUACAUGGUGGGUCUGUAGGCUAGCAGUGUUACAUAAUCACCUUUCUCUUCCCUUUUUUGCUUCAUAUUUCAAGCUCAAUAAUACACCUGAAACCAGCAGGUAUGUACUCAGCAGGGCUCAGACAUGCCUCCGCUGACACUAUUUGUGCUACUGCGGUUAGGCUGCUAUUUAUAUGCACACUAGCUUGAUGAGAGCUAGCAUGAGUCUGUGUACACAAGCAGGGGAAUCACAGCCCUAGCUCUUCGCCUAGAUGUAGCCUCAGUCCCACUUACUGCUGUGUAAGGGAGUGUAACAUGGUUUAAAAAACAUACUGAGAAUUUGGAAAUCAAUUAAAGUAGGGGACGCCCUUCUUUAACCUAGAUCUUCACGCAACCCCUCUUAGUUUCCUUUCUUGCCAUUCCCCUAAGCCCCCUCAUCUGACCUCAAACCAUCUUAGGCCUGAUUUACACAUCAAGUUUUGCUAGCAUAGCUAUGUAGGCUAGGGGAGUUUAAAAAAAAAAAUCACGCACCCCAGCCAACCCCUGUCAGCUGUCAGCAUAACUAAUAUUGUUGAAGGAGGUCGUUUUACUAUGCCAGCAGAACUUUGGCUUCUGUUGUGUCUACACUAGGGGGUAUGCCGGCAAAGCUAUGCCAGCACAGGGUGUGUGGUGUAGACAUGGAUUUAGACUCCUUUAUGUACUCAGAUACCAUAGAGGUGAGCACAAUAUAAGAACCUCAAUAGAAUUUAGACUUCUUUACUCUCAGAUUCAGCAGGCCUGAUCUUGAGCUCAUUUACAGAGUUUCAGCAUUGGUGAAACUCCAUUGGCUUCAAUGGAAUUAUCCCAAUUUACAUGAGUGUCAGUUAAAUCAGAAAGAGGGCGUAAUGUCCGUAUUCAGAGAUAAUGCACAAAGGUGGGUGUAAGUCUAAGUGAGUCUAGAGACAAAGUUGUAUUGAUGUGCAAUACAUGCUGAUAGGAUCACAAGAAUGGGUACAUUAUACCAAUUUACUGUCCUUUCAGUUCACUUAGACUCACCUCUGAAGUUGUCUCACAGGCCUCCUCCCCUACCUAAUUGCACCCUGUGAGAAGAGUGGAAAGUACAUGUUCUGCACUACCCCAGAGUUACCCUGACCUGUUAUUUUCUAGGAAAGUAUCAAAGAGCACUAAGUGAAUGAGUCCCAGGGCAGGAGAAAGCAGAACUCCUCAAGGUGCAAGAAGGUUUUAACUUAUGUAUUUUAAAUAGAUAAAGUGGUGGCACCACAGAGACACCCAUCAAUAUAACGUCUCACACACAGACCUCCAUGCACCCGUGCCUGUUUUCCAAUGCUGAGGGCCCAGUCGAACUCUCAAGAAACACGAAUAUAAAUUUGGAGUAACUUCCCUGUCUUCAGUGGUGUCACUCUGGGUGAAAAUAGAAUUGGACCCAAGGCUACAUUCAACCCUUGGUGUAAGUUGGUGCAUGUUAUGGUAAGGUUUCAGUCUGGGCCCACCUGAGAUCAAGGACUGUCUACUUCAUCAGAAGGGUUCAUUGGGAAAUGUUUGGGUUAGCCCAUGACCAUCGGUUUUGCAAGUCAGCUCUAUCACAAGCAAAGACUGAGAUGAAAAUACAUCUGAGAUGGCUGGAUUCGCUUUUAUGUAGGAAAAAAAAAUGGAAAAGCACCCAAAAAGGAUUCCCAGUCUGAACUAAAGGCCCUGGGACAGGGGACCCUUGAUGUUGAAAUAUGAACGAUGCUCAGAGUAAGAAAAGCUAUGCUGAUGUUCAUGGAAGACUCAACUUUCUGAAUACAAAUGAUCUUCUUUUCUUUCUGGAAGUAUAUAACAGAUUACAGUGGGCCAGAUUGUGCCCUUACAUAUACCCUGUGCAACCCCACUGGCUUUAAUGGGGGUGCGUGGGGCAAAAGUAAAGGCAGAACUUGGUUUUCUUUAUCUUUGCAGCUUGUCAUCUCUCCAUCAUCGCUGAUUAUACAUAGCACCGGCAUGGCCAUAGCAGGAAAGAGAGGCACACUUAGAAAGAAAUCCUAGUUAUGUGCUCCCAAAUUACCCAUUAAAACCAGGUCAGGACAGUUUUCUUUUUUCCUCUCCACAUGGAAAAUAAGUAACGAGAGUGAAUCCAGUAAUCAGGAAGAGAACUGUGUCCUGCAGUCCACUAUUGUUAGCUUACUGGUCUUAUUAUUCUUUUCUUUUGGAUAUAUGGCAAAGCUGUAGGACUGAAAUUCACCCCUGUGCAGAAGACCAGCCCUAGGCCUACACACUGCUUCAGGCCUCAGAGAUUAGGGCAUAAAUGGAGCACAGAGCUUAUACAAGAGUGAAUGUCAUCCUAACUCAGGGUUUCCUAAAGCGUGGGAAGGGCUGCCCCAUUGGGCAAGAAGGUACAAAGGUGCAGAAAAUGAGUAAAUGACAGUGCAUACGCAGACUUUAACAACACACAGUGGGGUGGAGGUUGGGGGUGUGUGUCAUUUUCAUUUCCUGGAAAGGGUGCUCAGCUUCCAAAGUUUGGGAAAUGUCCAGAGCGAAGGCUUUGGCUGUUUACGUGUGUGAGACAGGCAAACAGCAACCAUCACCUGAGACAUUUAGCACAAUUCUGGCUAGCUUGGCUGAGUAAGGGGACUUCCUCAUUUUAUAGUGCAUGGAAUCCACCUGGCACAUUGAUCUAAUUUACCUGUGCCAUGCUCAGAUACUAUAAUGGAGGGGGCUAGAGAAAAGCAAUAGACAAAUAAAUGGCCCUGCUCUUGAGUCUUUGCUAUGGUACUGUGCAGAAAUCACAAACAGAGUUCCGGGCUCAGUUAAACCAUGUCAUUUGAAGUCAAUGGGGUUUAAAAUGGCAGGGUAUAUGGCUCAGAUUGUUCAGCCAACCAUUCUGCUAUAUGAUUACCUCUGUUCAACUCUUGGGUCAGUAUAGGUAUUGUAAACCUGGUCUGUGGGACAGGGUGUUUCCAAGCCUGUGCUUGAGCAUCCACAUUGCACUGUAAACCUGGGUUUUACAACUACUGGACCCGGGUCUCUUAGCCAUGCUAACACGUCCAUACUGCACUGUGCAGAUCUUCUGACCUGGCUCCGCAGCUUGAGCUGCAUCCACAAAGCAAAAUGACAGGGCUUGGGCCUGAGUCAGAGCGGGACUCUGGCUUUGACCUGCAUCCCUAGCAGGUGCUUAGUGACCCACGUCAGUCUGAUUUGUUUGGACAGAAGAGGGGCUGAAGCUCAAACCUGAGUGAGAGCCUCUGUGUGCGUGUGUGUGUGUGUGUGUGUGCACAGAUUAGGCACACCCCAAGUUAGCUGACCCUAAGUUAGAGGAACACAGCAACAAAAGAUCCUACAGCACUUUGAAUAUAUAUAUAUAUAAUUGAUUGGAUAGGGUUGAUUGCACUAGUGAAAUGCAGGUGCCUCUGGGGUACAAAGUGACUGAUGAUUAGUAGACAAAAUGUGAAGAAUACACCAUCCAGUUGGAACCCCAGGGCAAAUUGCAAGUAUAAUUCCCCAAGUGGAAUUUGUCCAGCUGAGUACUCAGAGUAGAUAAGAUAUUGCCAUUCUGGAAGACCAACCCUAUCACAUUUGUUUUUCACAACACCAAGAUGAGUUAUUGGAGCGCUGGAGGUUGCAAGCCCAGAAAGCCUGCUGAAUUUUGUUUGCCUUAGAUUGUUGAUCCAAACAGAUACAGGGGGAUACUGAAAGGUGAACUCUUUGUAAUUUUCCAUGAUCUUAUCUGAAGGCAUCAAAAUGACCUAGACAUUCAUCAGGUGGUUACACUAAAAGCCACAAAAAUAAUUUAACAGCAUUACUUUAUGAAGUUGCAGACUUGGGGGAGCAAUGCGCGUUUCCUGGGGGGUUGUGGGUGACCCCAUUUGUCAGGAAUGGGCAGCAAAGGAAACUGAGUGCUCCUCACACCCGUUUUGAAAAGCUAAAGAGAUGUCAUCAAUUUACCAUUCACCCUUCUGCCUAAACAUUUUUUACCCACCAUUGUUACAAGGAACAUCUAAGACUGCUACCACUGAAAGAGAUUUGAGGAGAAAAAAGUAUUUUUCUCAAUCUUUUUCAGUUUUCUUCCUUUGUACAUGAGACAGCAUUUCGCAUGUAGUCAAUUUCAUGGUUUCCCUGUGUUGUUAUUGUGUUUUUUUGCUCUAGUUUGUGCAGGGCUAUGGGAAACAGUGAAACAUUUUAAAAAUAGGAAAAUUUGUUUGUAGAUCCACAAAAGUUGGCAGGGCGAGACAGGGUGGGGCUAGCAUCUGCACCUGUUUUUAGUUUGUUUCUUCAAAAUGAUUAGCUUUCAGCUUGAGAGUUUCUCUUUAAAAUAAUAGAAACAUUCUAAAAAGGCAAAUUUUCUGUUAUAUGCAGUUUAAAGACUUCUUACUGAAAGUGAACUUUGAGAAAAAUCUCAUCCCAAGUUGCCUCUUAGAACCCCUACUUACUGGCUGGAAGUGCAUGGAAGGGUUGAUCAAGAUAUUAUUCUAGACCUUAAAAACUGCUGAUUUGGCUAAAAACUGAACAAAAAUGGUACAAUGGAAGCAGGACAUGCAAAUUCAGCUCACAGAGAACUUGAAGGGAAAAUUACACAUGCUGGAAGGUACAGAUGAGUCCAUCCUAAAUAACAACAUGAGGCAGACAUGUUGGAUCAUAUUAAAGAAGUUCUGUAUUAAAAUCACAAAUGAGUUUGAUUCCCCAUAGUUUAAAUUCCGGAGUAUUACUUAUUAAGAGGUCUCUUGGUUUUUGGUACUAUUUCUCUCCCUCUAUGUGUGAAACUUGCAAGUUGCUAAUUGCGUUAGUACAUUCUAAGACAGAGUCUGUUCUCAAAGCAAUUCACACAGAGAGAGACUCAAAGCAAUACUCUGUAACAACAGAAACAGCACCCAGAGACUCCCCGCCCUUUUGUUGUAUUAACAAUUGUGAUUAAAAUAGAGAGAGAGGAUGUAUGUGGAUGGAUGCUUGGUGUGGAUAAUAACUGAAUGAUCAGGGAGGUGCCAGCCUAAGAAUCCAGUGUCCAUCGGCUGAAGAAGGCGUCAAGUGGAAAUAACCAGAGGACCCCCCCCCCCGGAGGGCAGACUGGAAUCCACCCAACAGCCUCAAGAAUGGGAGAACCAAAGAACAAAAUAACAUCUAGCAGCACGGAUCCAUCAGGAAUGUGCUAUCUGCUGACUGAUUCAGCAACAGCAUGAUGAAGCAAUUCCCAUAGACUGGCCUAGGAAUAAAUUCCUAUAAAAAUAGACUCUAGAAAGUGAGAACGUUGGGGGGGAUCUGAUUCUGCAAACCAACUUCCAGGAGCAUCAGAUGAGCAUCUGACAAGGCCCUGCUCCCUCCUCACAUCCAGGCCACCUGGCCAGUGGCUUGGCAUGAGCAACUCUAAGGCUGGGAACUAUGAUAACAACCUUGCAGAACCUAUGUGUGUGUGUGUGUGUGUGUGUGUGUGUAUGAAUGAAUGUGUGAAUAAAUAUGAGAUUGGAUGGAAUGUUAUAACUAUAACUAACUGCUUACUAUGAUUCUUUCUGUAUUCACAAUAAAUGUGGUAUUUUGCC